rnacentral:rRNA from 1 species
AUGAAGCAAAUUAGCGAAGGUAAAGAGGUGGAUGUUUCUAAUAAAAAAGGAAAUUCUGGAAGAAAGCCUAAGGACAUUAACCUAGAAAAAAUCCUAACGAUCCCAUUAAACAAAAGGUCUACCAUUAGGUCACUUGCCUGGCAACUGGGAUGUAGCCCCACCACACUUCAUAGAAAGUUCAUGUUA